rnacentral:rRNA from 1 species
GACGAACGCUGGCGGCGUGCCUAAUACAUGCAAGUCGAGCGCUGAAGGCCGGUACUUGUACCAACCGGAUGAGCAGCGAACGGGUGAGUAACGCGUGUGGAAUCUGCCUGUGAGCGGGGGACAACAUGUGGAAACGAAUGCUAAUACCGCAUAAAAACUUGAAACACAAGGUUUAAGGUUGAAAGAUGCAAUUGCAUCAUGCAAAGAUGAUCCCGCGUCGUAUUGGCUAGGUGGUGAGGUAAAGGCUCACGAAGGCGAUGUUACAUAGCCGACCUGAGAGGGUGAGCGGCCACCCUGGGAGUGAGACACGCCACAAAGUGCUACGGGUGGCAGCCGUAGGGCAUCGUCAGGAAUGGGCGGGAGUCUGAGCGAGCAACGCGGAGGGAGUGUAGAGGGUUGUCGGGUCGUGGAACUCUGUUGGUGGAGAAGAACGUUGGUGAGAGUGGAAAGAACAGCAAGUGACGGUAACUACCCAGAAAGCACCGGCUAACUACGUG